rnacentral:lncRNA from 1 species
CCAGCUUCUCCACCGAAACAGUUUCGGUCUUGCCGCGUUGCCAUCUCCAAAGCCCACCGAAGUCAGCUGAGUUCCUGCUUUGUUGACCCUACUACCGUGUGUCUUCAUCGAGCAAUCGGCCAGCUCGCUCGCGCCAGCAACGUCCCAGCUGCCACCUCUCACGUCCGCGUGGUCUUCCCCAGCAGCAGCUCUUGCUGCUUCCUUCGUCCGCAUCUUCAGCCCUUCCUCACCGAAGCCAGCAGUCCAGUGAACUCCCCUCCUUUGAUGCUUCUCUCGCCUGGCCCGGCUUGCACGCCAGCCCACAGCCCAGCCCACGAGUCCACAGAAUUCCUGCAGUAGCCCAAGCUGUCGCUCGUGAACUUCAGCCUUGAAGCCCAG